UACAGGGGGGGCAAGCGUUGUUCGGAAUUACUGGGCGUAAAGGGCUCGUAGGCGGCCAACUAAGUCACACGUGAAAUCCCCAGGCUUAACCUGGGAACUGCGUGUGAUACUGGAUGGCUUGAAUCCGGGAGAGGGAUGCGGAAUUCCAGGUGUAGCGGUGAAAUGCGUAGAUAUGUGGAGGAACACCAGUGGCGAAGGCGACUCUUUGGCCUGUAACUGACACUGAGGCGCGAAAGCGUGGGGAGCAAACAGG
rnacentral:rRNA from 1 species